CUACGGGUGGCAGCAGUGGGGAAUAUUGCACGAUGGGGGAAACCCUGAUGCAGCAACGCCGCGUGGAGGAUGACGCAUUUCGGUGUGUAAACUCCUUUUAUAUAGGAAGAUAAUGACGGUACUAUAUGAAUAAGCACCGGCUAACUCCGUGCCAGCAGCCGCGGUAAUACGGAGGGUGCAAGCGUUACUCGGAAUCACUGGGCGUAAAGCGCGCGCGGGCGGCCCCUUAAGUUGGAUGUGAAAGCCUACGGCUUAACCGUAGAACUGCAUCCAAAACUGAGGGGCUAGAGUCUGGGAGGGGAAGAUGGAAUUAGUUGUGUAGGGGUAAAAUCCGUAGAGAUAACUAGGAAUACCAAAAGCGAAGGCGAUCUUCUGGAACAGUACUGACGCUGAGGCGCGAAAGCGUGGGGAGCAAACAGGAUUAGAUACCCUAGUAGUC
rnacentral:rRNA from 1 species